UCGUCCUCCCUCCCUGUUCUCCUCUUCUCCACUUGGGGUGUUCUAAACCAAAUCAGAUCAGUUUUCGUUCAACCCAAUGGAACCCCUGAGACUCACCAUCCCCGGAGUUUACGUUCUUUGCGCCCCGCCGCGGCGCACUCUAGACCUAGGCUCCCAUUCGCCUACACAGUUACACGGCAUUUAUCCGAGAACGUCACAGCGCCCGCAUGCUGCACCGGCAGAGCGCGCGGGCUGCCGGGCCAACCUAGUGCUGGAGCGGGGAGCGCGCACCGCCGUCUGCCGCAGAGGGCAGCGGCCUCGCUGAGACCUGAGACCAGGAGCAGCGCCCGGCACAGACAGUUUGCAGCCUGGACGGGCGUCCCUGCAGCGCUCUGGAAAAAGAACACCAUCUUUCCUCACAGAAGCCCUUCCCCCUUUAGAACACACACACACACACACACACACACACACACACACACACACACACUCACUCACUAUGAUCUGGAAUGGAGAGCUGUCCCUGUUCAGGACCUAGUGGUCCAGGCCCGUGUUCCUCUGUGACACUUUCCGCAGGUAAUCAAAAGCGAAAGGCAGAGGGCUAAGCCCCUCCACGCAGCUUUGAUUUGCUCAAGAGACAUCUUGUAAAAAUGAUUGUGAUUCUUU